GGAUCGGUUAAUUCGGUGCCAGCAGCCGUGAUAAUACGGAGGAUCCAAGCGUUAUCCGGAUUUAUGGUAUUUAAAGCGUGCGUAGCUGGCCUAUUAAGUCCAGUGAGAGAAUGACGGCUCGCUUACCUAUGCACCUCGUGCUAGAUCCCUGAGUGUGCUUGAAUGAACUAGAGGUAGACGGAACGGGACAACUAGCGGAGAAAUGCAUAGAUGUGGCACAGAACACCACAUAGAGAGGCCAGCUUACUAUCGUUUUCAUGGCACACGGAGGCAAGAAAGCGGGGCGAUACAAACAGGAUU
rnacentral:rRNA from 1 species